CUGGGAUUGAAAACUUACUCACUAAAAACCCUUUCAAGAUAUUGUGAAGUCUCAUCGAGAGAUGUUGCUUGAUAUCUCUGAUAGAUGCUAGCCCAGUAUGUGCUUCUAUGAAGACCUGCAACCUAAUGCUUGAUGAAGGUACACCCGUGAUAGCCACACUUGGGGUGCAAUUAUUGGUGAUAGCUCCGCGUUUUGGAAGACGAUAAAUUUCCCAAUGUUAGAGGAACUUUUGA